ensembl:lncRNA
CCAAAAUAACAAGUCACAGGAUGCCUGUCUAGAGGGUAGCUUUGCUGAAAAUAACCUGGAGACUGAACAGAAGUCAGCAGUGUGUCCUUGUGCAUUAGAAGAUAACUCUGUGCUGAGCCAAGGGCAUGCUGGACAUUAAUGAUUCUUCCUCAUUGUUCAGUUAUUGUGAGAGCAUUAUCUGGAGAACUCUGUGAAGUGUUAGUUCCCCAGUACAAGAAAGUCAUUGACAUGCUGGAGCAAGCUGGUGCAAGGAAGAUGGUCAAACAGAGGAAAACUCACCCAGGAAGGAGGCUCUGCCCUUCAAGAUAUUCAGUACAUAAUUGGGAAACCACCUGGAAGUUCCUCUCUUCAAGAUGUCCUGUCAUUCCAAAGGCAAACAGGGACAACCACUUAAUUAACAGCAAUUUUGGUUCGUCUAUGAAUUCUAAAUCUCAAAAUCACUGUAAGCCAUGGUGUGGAGGAAGUGAUGUGCUGCUUCUCCCUCUGUAGAGCAAGGUGUUCCUGUCAAAAUCACAGCUUCAUCAUGAUUUAAUGGAAUCUGGUUCCUUGGGUCACCUCUGGGAAUGGAUAAACACCAACUUUGAGACAAUUGUCUGUAUGUGACUAACCACCAUUGUAUGAUGAAACACUAUGGUUCAUAUUUUCAAAAAGUGUACAUGUAAUCAGCAAAGCAAAUCAAUCUGCUGCAACUAUGGAAAUAAGCUCUAGUUGAUUUAGCAGUUUCAGCAUUACAUAUAUUCCACAUUGGUUUAUAGAAGGAAAAAGUUCUUUUGCCAUUAGAUACUGGUAUUGUUCAAUGAAAAUCAAAUACUAAACAGCUUGAAUGUAUCAUGAAAAAAAAAAAUACUGCCAAAUAUAAAGCACGUAAAGUCACCCUAUAUAAUAAAGAGGAGUUGUGGAUUUAAAUUUGGGUCUGUCACUUUCACUGAAGAAUACC